rnacentral:rRNA from 1 species
UCCGGUGGUUCUGAAUGGAAGGGCCAUCGCUCAACGGAUAAAAGGUACUCCGGGGAUAACAGGCUGAUACCGCCCAAGAGUUCAUAUCGACGGCGGUGUUUGGCACCUCGAUGUCGGCUCAUCACAUCCUGGGGCUGAAGUAGGUCCCAAGGGUAUGGCUGUUCGCCAUUUAAAGUGGUACGCGAGCUGGGUUUAGAACGUCGUGAGACAGUUCGGUCCCUAUCUGCCGUGGGCGCUGGAGAACUGAGGGGGGCUGCUCCUAGUACGAGAGGACCGGAGUGGACGCAUCACUGGUGUUCGGGUUGUCAUGCCAAUGGCACUGCCCGGUAGCUAAAUGCGGAAGAGAUAAGUGCUGAAAGCAUCUAAGCACGAAACUUGCC